GGUAUAUUCCAAACAUUCGCACCAUAAAUCCCUCUUCGCAGCAUUAUUUUAUUCUUUCUUCUACUGAUGCAACGCAGAAGGACCACUCAACCACCCCACCCCCCACUUUCCGCACGAUGAUGCAGCCAGGUUGAAGCAGAAGGAAAGGGCUUACUAAGGACAGACUAGAGACCACCACCAAGGUGUGACUACCGUAAUGACAGAUGCUGACGUGAUGGCAGGAAGAUCCAAAACAACCUUCUGCAGAAAUCGUCUUUAACUCUCAUCUCUGAAAAUUUUGCUUCACACAGAUAAACCUGUGAUUGAUCCAAACAGAUGAAAACUCAUUUGUAGCCUACAAGUCAUCAUAUUAUUGAAGUUAAUUUGAGUCACUUAGAGCCACAGUCAUUGUUCUGAACGGAAUGGACUACUCUUGAAAAUAAUCUUAAAUUACUAAGUAGAGUCUUCAUCUAAUAAAUGCACUUCUUAAAUCCUCUGUCAAAACAAUAAAAACUUGACCAUCUUUGGUGUAAGAGAAGCCAGGAAGCUGUCACAGUCUACCCGAGGAAGACCUCCAAGGAGGAACACAGCAAAGGCUGUGAUGGAAACAAGGGGAAAGCCCUUGGGAAGCAAGACUGAAGCAAA